rnacentral:rRNA from 1 species
UACGUAGGGGGCAAGCGUUGUCCGGAUUUAUUGGGCGUAAAGAGCGUGUAGGCGGUUAGGUAGGUCCGUUGUGAAAACUCGAGGCUCAACCUCGAGACGCCGAUGGAAACCAUCAGGCUAGAGUCCGGAAGAGGAGAGUGGAAUUCCCGGUGUAGCGGUGAAAUGCGCAGAUAUCGGGAAGAACACCCGUGGCUAAGGCGGCUCUCUAGUACGGUACUGACGCUGAGACGCGAAAGCGUGGGGAGCGAACAGG